rnacentral:tRNA from 2 species
GGGGGAUUAGCUCAGCUGGGAGAGCACCUCCCUUACAAGGAGGGGGUCGGCGGUUCGAUCCCGUCAUCACCCA